rnacentral:rRNA from 1 species
GAUGAACGCUGGCGGCGUGCCUAACACAUGCAAGUCGAACGGUAACAGGAAGAAGCUUGCUUCUUUGCUGACGAGUGGCGGACGGGUGAGUAAUGUCUGGGAAACUGCCUGAUGGAGGGGGAUAACCACUGGAAACGGUAGCUAAUACCGCAUAACGUCGCAAGACCAAAGAGGGGGACCUUCGGGCCUCUUGCCAUCGGAUGUGCCCAGAUGGGAUUAGCUAGUAGGUGGGGUAACGGCUCACCUAGGCGACGAUCCCUAGCUGGUCUGAGAGGAUGACCAGCCACACUGGAACUGAGACACGGUCCAGACUCCUACGGGAGGCAGCAGUGGGGAAUAUUGCACAAUGGGCGCAAGCCUGAUGCAGCCAUGCCGCGUGUAUGAAGAAGGCCUUCGGGUUGUAAAGUACUUUCAGCGGGGAGGAAGGGAGUAAAGUUAAUACCUUUGCUCAUUGACGUUACCCGCAGAAGAAGCACCGGCUAACUCCGUG